AGCCACCCCGCCGCCCGUUUCUGGAGCUGGAGAAGCUUCGGCCAUUUCCUCCACCUCCUCCUCCUCCUCCUCGCUGUGAUUCUACUAACUCAGAUACAGAUCCCAGUCCGUCCAGCUCGACCUGUGCGUCCAGAGCGAUGGAUAUAGGACUCCACAUCCUUCAAAAUAAAUAGCCUUAUGACUUAUCUAAUUUACUGUAGUUAAAUCAAUUAAUUGCAUUCACAUAACUUUGUAAAAGCUAUUACAGGUAAGCCUGAACAAUACACAAUUACUGCAUCAGAGAAUGAAAUCAAAAAACAUUGUUUCACU